AGAAGCGUGACCAGCGUGGAAAAAACAGACGAUUCGCUCCAGCUGUACCCCAAAUUUCAUCAAUGGAGCACAGCGAGGAAGCACCCAAAACUUGUUAACCGCACGGGGAACUGGAAAACACUGUAACCAAAAGAUGAAAAAAGAAAGUAUGUGUUUAGAAAAACCUGCUCUUUGCUGGUUGGCUUCAGCAGUGUACAAGAUUCCCAUGCCGCUGCAGCUAGGAAGCAAGAAGAUGGCCUGAAGAUAGCUGUACUUUCAAAAGCAAUAAGCUGAAGCCCUUUCACGCUCUGCAGCGGACUACGGACCCUACAACACAAUUUCAUGAUCCUGUCAUAGAGCCUGCUGGGGCAUACAGGGGCAAACAAAGGUUGCAAAGUCAACCUCAACACUGGUAUUUCCCAGCUCGUUUGUUUGCCUUUUAAUAGCAAGGUCCUGGAAAUACAAGUUUGAAUUUUCAAGAUA